GAGUUUGAUCGUGGCUCAGAUUGAACGCUGGCGGCACGCUUAACACAUGCAAGUCGGACGGCAGCACGGGUGCUUGCACCUGGUGGCGAGUGGCGGACGGGUGAGUAAUGCUUAGGGAUCUGGCGCGAAGCGGGGACAACACGGGGGAACGUCGUGCUAAUAACCGCAUAAGCUCUGAGGAGUAAAGAUGGCCUCUAUUUAUAAGCUAUCGCUUUGUCGAUGAACCUAAGUCGGAUUAGCUAGUUGGUGGGGUAAAGGG
rnacentral:rRNA from 1 species